UUUGGUGGUCAUAGCACGAGCAAAACACCCGGAUCCAUUCCGAACCCGGCCGUUAAGUGCCGUCGCGCCAAUGGUACUGCGUCUUAAGACGUGGGAGAGUAGGUCGCCGCCAAAC
rnacentral:rRNA from 1 species